rnacentral:rRNA from 1 species
GCGUGAAAAUUACCCAAUCACAAUUCGUGGAGGUAGUUAAUAGACAUAACAUUCUCGGCCCAUCGGGUUCUGAGAGAGUAAUGAAUUCAAUUUAAAAAAUUGAACGAAAUCCAUUGGAGGGCAAGUCUGGUGCCAGCAGCCGCGGUAAUUCCAGCUCCAAUAGCUUUGUUGAAAGUUGCUGCAGUUAAAAAGCUCGUAGUUGAAUAUCCGGCGUCUCUGACGUCUGCCUGAUACGACUUUCGAUACUGAA